rnacentral:rRNA from 1 species
CCGUAUCGGAAGGUGCGGCUGGAUCACCUCCUU